CAGCUGCCGUCCGGUCAGGUGCAGAGAACACGCCUACACUGGUCUCUGAGAGAGCUCACACCUCAUCUCCAGUGACACCAGCAGACAAGAGUGCGCCAACGCCUUCUCCACAACUAACACCUCCAGAUACAGUCCCGAGCACAUGUGAGCAGGGAAAAGAUGGGACAAUCUGG